rnacentral:rRNA from 1 species
UAGGGAAUCUUCCGCAAUGGACGCAAGUCUGACGGAGCAACGCCGCGUGAGUGAUGAAGGAUUUCGGUUCGUAAAACUCCGUUGUCAGAGAAGAACAGCGCAUAGAGUAACUGUUAUGCGUGUGACGGUAUCUAACCAGAAAGCCACGGCUAACUACGUGCCAGCAGCCGCGGUAAUACGUAGGUGGCAAGCGUUGUCCGGAUUUAUUGGGCGUAAAGCGAACGCAGGCGGUCAAUUAAGUCUGAUGUGAAAGGCCCCGGCUCAACCGGGGAGGGUCCUUAGAAACUGGUUGACUUGAGUGCAGGAGAGGAGAGUGGAAUUCCGUGGGUAGCGGUGAAAAUCGUAGAUAUAUGGGGGAACACCAGUGGAGGAGGGGACUCUCUGGUCUGUAACUGAAGCUGAGGCACGAAAGCGUGGGUAGCAAACAGG